GACGUAGGGGGCGAGCGUUGUCCGGAGUUACUGGGCGUAAAGUGUGCGUCGGCGGUGCCCCAAGUUCGCUGUGACAGGAUUCGGCUUAACCGAGUCAGGCCUGCGAAAACUGGCGCACUUGAGCAACUCAGAGGGGGGUAGAAUUCCACGUGUAGCAGUGAAAUGCGUAGAGAUGUGGAGGAAUACCAAUGGCGAAGGCAGCCCCCUGGGUUAACACUGACGCUCAUGCACGAAAGCGUGGGGGAGCAAACAGGAUUAACGAA
rnacentral:rRNA from 1 species